UGUUUUCAGUUCAACAACUGUUUGUUACCUAAACUAUUUAGGAAAAAAAUUGUUCAAAACAGUUUACGUAACAAAAAAAAUCCAAAAAGUCGGGAGAAUUCUACGUAACUUUUAAUGUUUAGAAGAAGAAUUCGCAACGUCGGGAGGCAGUUUCCAACCAUGCAACAAAUCCGAGGGCGAAAAUAUAAUUCUCGCCACGAAAAGAUGAUUUCGCCCUCGAAGUCCUCAACGCCCUCUGUAUUUCUGAUUCUCUCUCUGUUUUUGUGUUCAUAGCAGCUCUGAUGAUCUUUCAUUCCAGCGUCAUCGUCUCUGACAACUUCUCCCUCUGAUUUGAACAAAACAUUAUAGUUCAAGAAAUUUUAUUUGUCACUUGAGUCCUACAUUCUGAAAGAAAAUCCCAUUUGUUCAUCUGAACCGCUUGGCAAUGUACAUUUUGCAUCUUCAUUCUGUCACGUGAUUUUUUUUCGAUCUUUGUGUACCAUAAGGAAUUCCGAAAGUGAUUAAUCCCUUCAUUAUUCUCUGCUGUGUUGAAUUUCUUCCAGAGAUUCAGAAAGGAGGACAUUUGACUGUCGGGAUCGGAUGCAUUUAUGCGGAGGUCAAAUUCUUUACAUAUCUGGUCUUUGAACUAGCCAAAGCAUCUGCAUUUUAUAAACUACCUAUGAUGAUUUCCUGCUGAUUAUAGUGGCUGAUAUUCUUUAUGAAAUUCAGGUGAGAAGAGUCGAUCACAGGAAUGUGAUUGAUUGUACAGUGUGCUACUAUGAAGUAAAUGGCUGUUAUUUCCUUUUCUUCUAUUGCUAGACUAGUAUGUCUGCAUUAUGCAAUAAUCUUUGGCUCAAAACAAUCCCCAUACUAGUUUGGAUAUAAAAUAAAGAACAUGAUUGCUGGUGUUUCUUUGGUGAAAGUGCUUUAUCAUGCUGGCUAUGCUCUUGACCUGGAUCAUAAUAGCCUUAAGAGGUGCUUUUUGCUACUGUAAGUUGUCCAUAUUUUAGACAUCUGAGCAGAUGAUGCCUCCUCUGUAUGGAACAUUGCAGUGCCAAUCUAACACAAAACUACAGAAUUUGCUUGAUUCAUCUUUUGUGACUUAUCAGAGAACCAACUUGGUGCAAGGAAGUUGGCUAUUUCUCAUCAUCUAGUCCUAAACGUCACAUUUCUUGUAGGCUGAGCAAAGAGCGCGUGAAGAAAGUGAAAAGCAGAGCUGGCUAGAGUGUGGGCAAAUUGCGGAAAAAGAGAAGCAAGAUUUGACUCUUAGGGCACGAAUUGCUGCCAAGGCAUAAGAAAAGAAGUUGGAGUUGCUGUUUUUGCACUGGACUGAGCACCCCAGAAACCUUAGCAAUUCUAUAAGUUUGGUUUCUCACCUUCCUGGAAUACCAUAGGUCCAUAGUUAUGUUCCUUUAUACGAGUGAUUUGGUCUAAGUCAUCUUGUUUGCAGGUUAUUUUUCCUUUUGGUCCAAAAGGGUCGCUAUUGACAAUUUUAUUGAGCUGAAGAUAAGUUUCUGUUCACAUGAUGGCCGUGACAAAGAAACUAGAUGCUGAAUUUCUGCUUUCGUUGCCAUAGAGCUGUAGAAAAUUGUUGGAGCUGAUGGUUCUGGAUGAACACCUCAAUGUCGGGAAAAUGAAUCAAACUCUGGGCUCCAAGCCUCCUCGAGUUAUGAGGUCUCUUCUUGCUGCCUCCGCUAAAGAGAAUAGGAGCAAGAUUCAUCGGUGGAAAGACAGAUAUCCAUGAUGCUGCUUGCCAUGUUAUUGCAAGACUUAAAAAAGGAAAGGGAUGAAGCCCGGUCAUUACUUGCACGGGUUGAAAGACAGAAAUCCAUGACAGUAUCUUCUGAUAUUGCAGUGAAUGCUCCUGCCUUGAGCAAUGGGAGAAAAGCUUCUCUAGAUGAAGAGUCAGGCUAUGCUGGGAAGAAAUUGCGAUUCUGCAAGCAUCAUUGCUGUGAUAAUAGAUUGUAACUUAGCACUUUCUCAACAGCAUAAAAAGUGACAGAUUCCCUCUACACUGGCACCUGUUGAGGAUGUGGAGAGGUACAGCCAACUUUCUAGUUAUCCGCUGCACGAAACUGGCAAACCGGGCAUCACAACUCUUGACAUUUGUCAUUCCAAGGUGGGAUUCUAAAUAUUCCUCUUUCAUCCAGAAUUUGUUAUAUGUAGCUGAUGUUUUGGCUGAAAAUGCUUCCAUUGUUUGUGUGCUUCAUGUGCUGAUAAUUUACCGCAUGG